rnacentral:lncRNA from 10 species
AUUGUUGGUUGUCUCUUGUUUUUGCUCAAAGCCUAUCUCAAACUUCUUCCCUAUCUUUCCUUUUAAGUUCUCACAGUGUCUUAUCUAAAAUAAAAUGGGCUCUUCUGGGUUUGUGAAAUAAUACAUGGGGGUUGGUUCAAAUAUUUUUUUUUUCUUAAUGGAAGGAAUAAUCGUGGGAUUCAACUCAUUGCCAGGGAUUAUGCUAGAAACCUAUUACAUUGUAGGGGUCUCACUUUAUCAUCAUGAUAAUGCUGAAAGAAUUUUACCUCAGUGGAGAAACUGAGGUUCAGAGAAGUUAUUUAACUUCAUUAAUAUCACACAAAUAGUGAACAGUGGAGAUGGAAUUAAAAACAUUUCAGGGCUUAAUCCAAAUUCCACACAUUGCAUUACCCUGCCUUUUUUUUUCUUUUUUAAAUACCUCCAGGAAUUUUGUUUCCUAGUCACAACUCUGAGUUUUUCCACAGUGGAGAAUAUAGUCAGGGAAGAAGUUACAGUGGUAAACAGGAAGGAAGUACAGAGCACCCCCGUCUCUCCAUAGGCUGGGAAGACAUAUUGGUGGGUCAGAAAUUAAACAAUAUCUGCUCCUCAUCAAAGAGAAGAGCUUUAGGAUUGAAUUAGAGAAAGCAGCCUGUAGACUUUCCUUUUAGAGUUGUAAAAUUGAAUGUUCUUUAUCUUAAAAAUAAAAAAUCCAUUCAAUUACAGCACAGAAGGUAAAAUUUCUUUCCAAGUGUACCCAGAGAUUAUUGAAAGAGGAGAAUCCUCUUAAAAUCAUCACACUUUGGCAUUUUGAACAAGCACCCUUGUUCACCAUAGGCAUGGUGCCCCAGGACUUCCUUUGGGAACAUGAAGAGUCUCCCUUGAGUUUCAAGUUUGCUGCUGCCAAAUCCGGGUCCCUCCUACCCAGAAAGGACCUCUCCCAGUUGGGAUCGGUGUGGAUGCUUCUUUGCCAAGAAUUGCCAAGAGAUUCGAAUAGUUCCAGAAUGUGGAAUAAUUGCAAAUUAAUUGCAUUUAAUUACACAAGGCUAGAUCAUCAAAUAUCUUCUAGGUAGUUUGUGCUUUCUUUUGGGUAUCGAUGUAUAAUUUAAAGCAUAAAUAAUGCAAAUUUCCCUUUUGGAAAUAUUAACUAGUGCAGUGUUCUACCUAAUGGAGGUUAUUAUUUUAAUGUUUGUGAAAUUAAGUUUUCCUAUCUAAAUUGAAGUUGUAGGUAGCCAAAUAAUCAUUCUUGCAGUAGUAGAAGGUAUUUUUCCCUGAGGAAUAUGAACAAACAAUGAGUACAGCUACAAGUUCUAAAAUGUUCAGCAUUAUAUAUAUAUUAUAUAACAUAUAUAUGUUUAUAUGUUAUAUAUAUGUAUAUAUAUAAAUAUGUUUAUAUAUAUAAAGCAAUACUUCUUCCUCCCACUGGAGAAGGGAACUAAACAAAAUAAUUGUCUAGACUUAAACCUCCUUUUCUCCAAGUCAUUUUGAUGUUUACUCUGUUUACAGACCAGUGCUUGAGAAGUGCCCUUCUCUAUCAGGCUAGCCCAGGCUCAGUAUGACUUACAAACAGUAUAAUUUGGGGUUUGCCAAAUCCCCAAAUCUAUAAAGAGGAUGGAUCAGCUGAAUAAAUAGUAUGGUUUAAUGGAAGACUACGGGUUCUGUACCUCACUUGCCAAUAUUUGUUGAGGGGCCCUGGGCGGAAACCAGCAUCUCCCUAAAUCUCACAUUAUCCUUUUAUAAAAUUAGGGGAUUGAUCUACUUAAUUUCUUUUUUUUUCUUUUCUUUUUUUCUUUUUCUUUUUCUUUUUUUUUUUGAGAUGGAGUCUCGCACUGUUGGCUGGAUCUCGGCUCACUGCAAGCUCGGCCUUCCGGGUUUAUGCCAUUCUCCUGCCUCAGCCUCCUGAGUAGCUGGGACUACAGGCGCCCACCACCACACCUGGCUAAUUUUUUGUAUUUUUAGCAGAGAAGGGGUUUCACUGCAUUAGCCAGGAUGAUCUCGAUCUCCUGACCUCAAGUGAUCCGCCCGCCUCGGCCUCCCAAAGUGCUGGGAUUACAGGCGUGAGCCACCGCGCCCGGCCAAUUUCUAAGGCUCCAUUAGGGCUAAGGUUCAUGUAUCCAUGGUGAAGUAUAGAAGAACUCAGAAUCGUUCCAAACAUAAUGGGCUUGGAGUAAUGGAGAACUCCAAGGGCAGGAGGUAACCAUUAAAGAGGACCAUCAUGUAGUGUGAGGAGUCAACAUUUCACACUAGAAAGCCCUUGGUUCAAGUUUUGUCUCUGCCACCUACAGAUUUUGUAACCCUGAGGAAACUAGCUACCUCUUUAUGUACUGCCCUAUGGAGAGGCACACAUGUCAAGAAACUGAGGGAGUGCCUUCCAGUCAACAGCCAGCCAGGAACUAAGGUGCUCAGUACAGCAGCCUCCACAAAGGACUGAACAAUGCCAACAGCUAUUUGACUGUGCUUGGAAGAUCUCCGUUUAGUUAACCCUUCAGAUGAGACCGCAGCCCUGGCCAGCAAACAAAUUGCAGCCUAUGGAAAGACCUUAAGGCAGAAGCACCCAACUGAACCACCCGAGGGCUCUGACUUACAGAAACUGUGAGCAUAUAGUGAAAUGGCCUCUACCUUAUUUUGAAUGGAUUUCUGGGAUAAAGUUCUUCAGUGAUAACAUGUUUGAAGCGGCUAUCUUAUGUGCCCAUGUUACAUGCUCAUGAUAAAGCUGCAUUUCCUGAGGGGACACCAAUGGAUACACCUCUGCCUGGCACGCAGCUUAGAGGCUAAAUGUAUGAAAAGCAACACCAUGCAAAUCAUUUUGAAACUGCUGUGGAACUCUCACGGGACCCUCCAUUCUAGACAUCCAGUCCCACUAGUGAUCUGACCAUGAAACCUACUAAGAGACUUCCAGAAGAAGAUGACCUCUGAAAGGAGAAAACUUUCUUCCAAGCUUCUGUGGAACAAGAAGAUGCCAUCCCUUUGGUGGAGCCCAAAGGGAAACCAGGUAGUUAGCAAGAGAAACUGUUGUUAUCAUCUAUGAAAGGUGCUUCCUGGGGUUUCAGAGGAGGGUGCAGAAGGGGAACAGUGAGUCUGGAGGGACAGAUGGAACAUUCCUGCAAUGCUAUCAAUCCAUAUCUGACCCUCAAUUCAUGAAACUUUCCAGACAACCCACCCUGACAGAUCCCUCUCUUCUUAGAGCUCUCACGUACCUUUCUUUUAGCAUUUAACAUUCAUAACCUCAAAUGAAUGAUUUCUAUGCAUGAGUCAUUUCCUGAGUAGACUGUCAGAUCCUUGAAGGCAGGAAGGCAAUGUAAUAUAAUGGAGAAUAUCCUAUGUCUUCAAAUAGUUAUGAAGAUUAGAAAGGCAAUCUAAGCAACAUCCUUAGCAUAUUACUAGGUGCACAUAAAAAGUGAUGAAUAGACAGAUUUAUGACUAUUCAUUUUUUUUAUCCUUCCUAUCCUUCACCAUGUGGAAGAUACACUGCCAUUACACACACCUCCAAAAAGAAAACUCAGCAUUUCUUAUGUAUCUUCUCUGGGUGAUUUACUAUGUAGAAGUUCAAGUAUGUUAUUAGAAUGCUUCCCCAAUUUAGUUACACACAGAUUCCAC